GAUAUAUACAAUAAUACAAGAUCGGGCUGUAUGAAUUAGGUGAUGUGAA
rnacentral:guide_RNA from 1 species